rnacentral:rRNA from 1 species
UCCAGAGGCCUCGAGCGUUAGGCGGAAUCACUGGGCUUAAAGCGUGUGUAGGCGGACUUCUAAGUACCUUGUGAAAUCCCACGGCUUACCCGUGGAACGGCUGGGUAUACUGGGAGUCUUGAGCCACCUAGGGGCGAGUGGAACAAAUGGUGGAGCGGUGAAAUGCGUAGAUAUCAUUUGGAACGCCAAUGGUGAAAACAACUCGCUGGGGGUGUGCUGACGCUGAGACACGAAAGCCAGGGGAGCGAACGGG